AAAUCUAUAUUAUAUAAGUAUAUUUAUUUUUCAUAUAAAAGGUAUUUGAUUUU
rnacentral:tRNA from 1 species